rfam:Haemonchus contortus, ISE/inbred ISE, WGS project CAVP01000000 data, contig: Hcontortus_48461
CCAACGGCCCUCUUUAGGGCCACAUAUUACCAUGAAUGUGAAU